rnacentral:rRNA from 1 species
AUGAACCAGAACAACACCAAGAGCACUAAGCUUACCGCAAAACAAUGUCCACCAAGGGAGGUACUUGAACAUGCACAGCAACACGGCCGACACCAGGGAACACCACCGAAGACGAACACAGAGGAAGCAGGACGACAGCAACACAAACCAUCGUCGAGCCCGACCGGCCGGACAACCACCAUCAACAUUCCGACAGCAAGCAACACCCACACAACAAUCAUGUUGACCCCAAAGAUGACGCCUUCAAGAAGGGUUGCGACGCUGGUUGCGCCGCCACCAUCCAUACAGGAGGAUGUGGACUUGGGUUUCCCCCGGGGUCUCGACGAGGAGGGUGCAAACAACAAAAACAAUGACGCCUUCAAGGAGGUUAGCGGCGCCCACAGGCGUCGCCGCCGCCGACUCCAGUUGUAG